rnacentral:rRNA from 1 species
GAUGAACGCUGGCGGCGUGCCUAAUACAUGCAAGUCGAGCGAACAGACGAGGAGCUUGCUCCUCUGACGUUAGCGGCGGACGGGUGAGUAACACGUGGAUAACCUACCUAUAAGACUGGGAUAACUUCGGGAAACCGGAGCUAUACCGGAAAAUAUAUUGAACCGCAUGGUUCAAUAGUGAAAGACGGUUUUGCUGUCUCUCAUAGAUGGCUCCGCGCUGAUUUAUCUAGUUGGUAAGGUAACGGCUUACAAAGGCAACGAUCUGUAGCCGACCUGAGAGGGUGAUCGGCCACACUGGAACUGAGACACGGUCCAGACUCCUACGGGAGGCAGCAGUAGGGAAUCUUCCGCAAUGGGCGAAAGCCUGACGGAGCAGCGCCGCGUGAGUGAUGAAGGUCUUCGGAUCGUAAAACUCUGUUAUUAGGGAGGAACAAAUGUGUAGGUAACUAUGCACGUCUUGACGGUACCUAAUCAGAAAGCCACGGCUAACUACGUG